AUACGGAGGAUCCGAGCGUUAUCCGGAUUUAUUGGGUUUAAAGGGUGCGCAGGCGGCCAUUUAAGUCAGCGGUUAAAUCGUGGGGCUCAACCCCAUUCUGCCGUUGAUACUGGGUGGCUUGAUUGCGGUCGAGGUUGGCGGAAUUCGUUGUGUAGCGGUGAAAUGCAUAGAUAUGACGAAGAACACCGAUUGCGUAGGCAGCUGACCAGACCGCAAAUGACGCUCAUGCACGAAAGUGCGGGGAUCGAACAGGAUUAGAUACCCUGGUAGUCCGCACAGUAAACGAUGAAUACUUGUUUUCGGCGAUAGAAUGUCGGAGGCAAAGCGAAAGCGAUAAGUAUUCCACCUGGGGAGUACGCCGGCAACGGGGAAACUCAAAUGAAUUGACGGGG
rnacentral:rRNA from 1 species